UCCUUGCUGCGGUGUUUAGACAGCUAUGU
rnacentral:piRNA from 1 species